rnacentral:rRNA from 1 species
UACGGAGGGUGCAAACGUUGCUCGGAAUCAUUGGGCGUAAAGCGCACGUAGGUGGUCCAGCAAGUCGGGUGUGAAAGCCCUCGGCUUAACCGAGGAAGUGCAUUCGAAACUACUGGACUUGAAUACUGGAGAGGAUCGCGGAAUUCCCGGUGUAGAGGUGAAAUUCGUAGAUAUCGGGAGGAACACCAGUGGCGAAGGCGGCGAUCUGGACAGAUAUUGACGCUGAUGUGCGAAAGCGUGGGGAGCAAACAGG